ACUAUAUACGUUGUAUUGUGUGGUUUGGAACACAGCCUGAUUUUCACCUCAGAGACGAACAGUGAAAAAAGUCCGGCCCCGCGGAGGAGAGUCUGUCCACGUCCCAUCGACUGUACAUAAUCAAGAACACCACACUGAACGUUUCAUAAAGCCGCUGUUUCAUCCAUCAACAUCCAGCACAGAGUUGUUAGGAGUUAGGAGUGCAGUGUUUUUUUAGUCCAGCGGCUCCUGUUUUAUCCUGAGGGACGUGUUCGUGUUCUGGCUCCGUCUAUCCUCGCGACACAGCACGUAUUCGCUGAACUGGGACGAGUCGACUCCGCCGCCGCACGACGCCGCCACGCUGAAGCCCUUCUGGAACAGACGCUCCAGCACCUGCAGAGAUGGAUAUUAACAAGGGUCAGACACCUCAGGACAGGAUAUUAGAUGUACUAGCACUAAACUUUAAUCAUAUGCACUGUAAACCUAAUAUUGAGUAGAGGUGGGUUUGAUAUAGGUAGAAGAGGAUACAGUGGAAACGUUCAGUGUUUGGAAUAUUUUCAAAUUCAUUUUAUUUCAUCUACCGCUUUGUUUUGGUUACGGUGGGUCCAGUUACAUUGGGAAACACUGGGUGCAAGCCAGGAGUACCCUGGACAGGGUGCCUCUCCUUCGUAGGGCCACCCCCUCAGACAUAGCCAAUCAUGUCUGUGUAGUUGCCCUGGCACGGUGGCUAAGUGGGUAGCACUCUCGCCUCACAGCAAGAAGGUCCUGGGGCGGUCCGGGUCCUUUCUGUGUGGAGUUUGCAUGUUCUCCCCGUGUCCACGUGGGUUUCCUCCGGAUGCUCCGGUUUCCUCCCACAGUCCAAAGACAUGCAAGUGAGGUGAAUUAGAGACACUAAAUUGAGACACUAAACUUGUGAACUGAUGAAUCUUGUGUAAUGAGUAACUACCGCUUCUGUGAUGAAAGUAACCACAGUGUAAAACAUGCCGUUAAAAUCCUAAUAAACAAACAAACAGAUGAGAGACACAUACAGAUAAAAUAAACCGAAAGCUGCUGAAGC